ensembl:lncRNA
CUAGAAGGUCUUGUAGGUCUUCAUAGAACCAUUCAAUUUCAGUUUCUUCAGCAUUAAUGAUUGGAUACUGUGAUAGUGAAUGUUUUGCCUUGGAAAUGAACAGAGAUCAUUCUGUUGUUUUUGAGAUUGCACCCAACUACUUCAUUUCAGACUCUUUUGUUGACAAUGAGGGCUACUCAAUUUCUUCUAAGGGAUUCUUGCCCACAGUAGUAGAUAUAAUGGUCAUCUGAAUUAAAUUCACCCAUUCCAGUCCAUUUUAUUUCACUGAUUCCUAAACUGUCAAUGUUCACUCUUGCCUGACUAUUAUGUGUGUAUGGGAGGAAACAAAAAGAGAAAUUAAUAAGAUAUGUCUAGAAAGCAGCUGUUCCAUCCAGGGUGGAAUUACUAGAUGUCCCUCUUGUAAAUGAAAUUCUGCCUCUUCGAGAAUGCAAUAUGAAUUUCCCAGGAUCUACUGCUAAUACAAGGAUUUCGUGGUUUUUAGUAAUACAAUGGGCAUAUAGUAAGUUUUUAGAAUUGGUACUAGAAGUUGAGGGGCUUCCCAGGUGGAGCAGAGAUAAACCAUCUGCCUGCCAAUUCAGGAGAUGCAAGAGAUGCAGUUUCGAUCCCUGGGUUUGAAAGAUCUCCUGGAGGGCACGGUAACCCAUUUCAGUAUUCUUGUCAUGGACAGAGGAGCCUGCUGGGCUACAAUCCAUAGCGUCACAAAGAGUUGGGCAUCACUGAAUGACUGAGCAGAAAACACUAUAGGCUAUUUAGGGAGUACAAUAGGAAAAAAACAAAACAAAAACAAAAACAAGAAUGGCUGGGGAAGGGGAGAGGGUCAUUGAUGGACUUCCUGUGGAAAUAACGCUUGAACUAGGAGCAGGAAAAUAUAAAGAAGCCAGUCAGGGAAAAAUCUGGAGCACAAGAAAUUUGAUCUCUAAAUUCUUAUAGGUUUCUAAGUGUUGUGCGCACAAGGUGUGUGUGUGUUAGAGUAGUCAGGUAAGGGGAUAUGUGUCCUGUCUGUCCACUAUUAAAAAUGUAAAAUUAAAAUGUCUGCUUCAAGGGCAUCCAGUUGACCCUCCUCUUCAUCCUGAUAGUGAACACAGAAAAAAUAAGCAUUCAGGAAUGGAUUAAAGAAGCUUAACUAUUUCUUCCUAAAAUCUUAGAAACUUCUCGUUUGUGAAAGCCAAAGUUAGUUAAGCUACAAGGAGAUGGACUAGAUUUAUCGUUAUUCUUAGCUGCCUUUAUUAAUUCCAUCACCUGCUUUUAUCUCAAGGGUUAGUAGAGGAGCCACACAAAUUCUUGAUCAUUUCUCCCUUUGCCAAAUUAUCUUUUCUAGGAGUAAUAUCAUACCCUUUCCUCUUUUUCUGUACAUGAAGGCCAUAAAUGAAAAUGGAAAAUCAAAUGGAAUUUCCUUAGAUUUAAUUUUUUUGAACUAUUAGACUUAUAAUUGUGUGCUUAGUGCUUAGUCACUCAGUCGUGUCCAACUCUUUUUUUCUUGCCUAGAGAAUCCCCAUGGACAGAGGAGCCUGGUGGCAACAGUCCAUGGGGUCCCAAAGAGUCGGACAGGAUUGAGCAACUAAGCACACAACACAGUUAUCUUUCCAUUUGAACUGCACA